AAGACAGGACGGCCCCGGCCCCGGCCCCGAUGCCCCCGGUGCCCCCGAACACCCACUCGUAGAAGCUGAGGUGGCGCUCGGAGUCCCGGGGCUGCGCCGCGGCGCUGGAGCAGCGCGGGGCCCCGCUCCGCUUCCGCAUGGCCGCGUCCUCGGGUCGCCGCGUGAUGACGUCACUCCGCGGGGAGCGGGGACGGCGCGUCGCUCGAGCAACGGCCGCGCCGGGGCGCUGUCGCUAUGGAGACGCUGCCGCGCAUGCGCUGUCGCCGCGGGGACGGCUUCCCGCGCCUCAAGGAGGGAGGGCGCGCUGUCGCCGUGGCAGCGCGGCCUGCACGCACGGCCUGAAGCCCGAGUGGGAUUUUCAAUGUUCUGAACAAUGUGGGUGUGGAGAGCGUGAUUGAGACCUGGCUGGCUGAGAAAGGCCACACAGACAGUAUUCGGCUAAUGAGACGAGAGUCCUUGAGCAAUGUAACAGGAUGUAAACAAGGCUAACGAGGAGAGAGUCCUUGAGCAAACUAACAGGAUGUGUAGGAAGGUAGGAGAAUAUAGAAAUAAGAAAGAUGAAUGGCAUGGUCUAAUCACAAAAAGUACAAAGAAGGGCUGGGGCGACAAGUAGCUGAAGCGCCUAUCAGGAGCUCGGGCUUUGCAAUGUGUAUGAGCUUCAUUAGCGCCAACAUAAAUGCACGCAACCUUCUGAUUAAAGUUGAGACUUUCUGAUCAAUUCUGUGGUCGUGUGUUUGUCUCCCGCUGAGCUCCGACAAUGCUUGUGCAUUGGGAUGGCAUGUAGCUCAGGUAGUACCCCUUCCUCCGGGGUGGACCAAGGAUUCCCAAGGGAUGCAAUGUAUGGUUGCCCUGUACCAGGAGAAAACAGCCUGGGAAAAUGAAGCCUGAAAAUCACUCUCCCUAUUGUUUCCCCGGAUAUCAGAGAUAGAUGCCAAAAUCCCUCCUGCAUUCUCCAUGGCCAUAGGUAACCAUACAGCUUGUCUCUCAAGGCAGGGUGUGAGGGCUACCAGGCCUAUCGGGAAUUUCUCACUGUGCAGUGGAACCUUGGAUGUUAUUUGGCGGGGAACUA
rnacentral:lncRNA from 1 species